rnacentral:rRNA from 1 species
UACGUAGGCAGCAAGCGUUGUUCGGAGUUACUGGGCGUAAAGGGUGCGUAGGCGGUCCUAUAAGUAUGGUGUGAAAUCUCCCGGCUUAACUGGGAGGGUGCGCUAUAGACUGUGGGACUAGAGUGUGGGAGAGGAAAGUGGAAUUCCUGGUGUAGCGGUGAAAUGCGUAGAUAUCAGGAGGAACACCGGUGGUGUAAACGGCUUUCUGGACCAUAACUGACGCUGAGGCACGAAGGUCAGGGGAGCAAACGGG